rnacentral:rRNA from 1 species
UACGUAGGGGGCAAGCGUUGUCCGGAUUUAUGGGCGAAAGAGCGUGUAGGCGGCCAUGCAGGUCCGUUGUGAAAACUCGAGGCUCAACCUCGAGACGCCGAUGGAAACCGCAUGGCUAGAGUCCGGAAGAGGAGAGUGGAAUUCCUGGUGUAGCGGUGAAAUGCGCAGAUAUCAGGAAGAACACCCGUGGCUAAGGCGGCUCUCUAGUACGGUACUGACGCUGAGACGCGAAAGCGUGGGGAGCGAACAGG